UUUGAUCCUGGCUCAGGAUGAACGCUGGCGGUAUGCUUAACACAUGCAAGUCGUACGAAGAUUUUUGAUCUUAGUGGCGGACGGGUGAGUAACACGUGAGAAUCUACCCUUAGGAAGAGGAUAACAGCUGGAAACGGUUGCUAAUACUCUAUAUGCCGAGAGGUAAAAGGAUUUAUCUACCUUAGGAAGAGCUCGCGUCUGAUUAGCUUGUUGGUGGGGUAAAAGCCCACCAAGGCGACGAUCAGUAGCUGGUCUGAGAGGACGAUCAGCCACACUGGGACUGAGACACGGCCCAGACUCCUACGGGAGGCAGCAGUGGGGAAUUUUGGACAAUGGGGGAAACCCUGAUCCAGCAAUGCCGCGUGAGUGAAGAAGGCCUUCGGGUUGUAAAGCUCUUUUGUCAGGGAAGAAACACCGGCUCUAACACAGUCCGGGAAUGACGGUACCUGAAGAAUAAGCAUCGGCUAACUCUGUGCCAGCAGCCGCGGUAAUACGUAGGGUGCGAGCGUUAAUCGGAAUUACUGGGCGUAAAGCGUGCGCAGGCGGUCAAGCGGUGGAUGAUGUGGAUUAAUUCGAUGCAACGCGAAAAACCUUACCUACCCUUGACAUGUCACUAACGAAGUAGAGAUACAUUAGGUGCUCGUAAGAGAAAGUGAACACAGGUGCUGCAUGGCUGUCGUCAGCUCGUGUCGUGAGAUGUUGGGUUAAGUCCCGCAACGAGCGCAACCUUUGUCUUUAGUUGCUACGCAAGAGCACUCUAAAGAGACUGCCGGUGACAAACCGGAGGAAGGUGGGGAUGACGUCAAGUCCUCAUGGCCCUUAUGGGUAGGGCUUCACACGUCAUACAAUGGUGCAUACAGAGGGUUGCCAACCCGCGAGGGGGAGCUAAUCUCAGAAAAUGCAUCGUAGUCCGGAUCGUAGUCUGCAACUCGACUACGUGAAGCUGGAAUCGCUAGUAAUCGCGGAUCAGAAUGUCGCGGUGAAUACGUUCCCGGGUCUUGUACACACCGCCCGUCAUACCAUGGGAGUGGGUUUUGCCAGAAGCCGUUAGCCUAACCGCAAGGGGGGCGACUGCCACGGCAGGGUUCAUGACUGGGGUAAAGUCGUAACAAGGUAGCCG
rnacentral:rRNA from 1 species